rnacentral:tRNA from 1 species
GUCCCUGUCGAUUAGUGGUUAAAUCAUCUCGUUGUGGUCGUUCGCUCCGAGAAGCCGGAAGUUCGAAUCCUCCUAGGGACA